UCUAGAGGGAAAAAGGUAAUACUUCUUAAGGAAACCUUUAUUUAUUGGCGGCCUAUUUCCUUUUUAGAGGAACUCGUCUCAUAAUCGUCACUCCUCGUUAAUUUUUACUUUUUUUUAUCUCUUAUACCGCCGUCUUCAGACUAAAAUUUUUUCUUCAAAAAAAAAACAUUCUAUUAAGUCAGGUAAAGGUGAGGACUAAUAAAAAAGAGAAGAUAAGUUACUUAUAAAGAUUAUUUAUGGAUUUUAUCUUAACUAUUUUUUUGAAAAAGGAUUUAAUAGUAAUUCUUCAAUAGUAUUUUACAAUGAACAGAAAAAAUAGGUGU
rnacentral:rRNA from 1 species